AGAAUCAACGCUGGCGGCGUGCCUAACACAUGCAAGUCGCACGAGAAAGGGUAGCAAUACCUGAGUACAGUGGCGCACGGGUGAGUAACACGUGAAUAAUCUACCUCCGAGUGGGGAAUAACUGAGAGAAAUCUUAGCUAAUACCGCAUAACACUUACGAGUCAAAGCAGCAAUGCGCUUGGAGAGGAGUUCGCGGCAGAUUAGUUAGUUGGCGGGGUAAUGGCCCACCAAGACGAUGAUCUGUAUCCGGCCUGAGAGGGCGCACGGACACACUGGAACUGAAACACGGUCCAGACUCCUACGGGAGGCAGCAGUGGGGAAUUUUGCGCAAUGGGGAAACCCUGACGCAGCAACGCCGCGUGGAGGAUGAAAUCCCUUGGGAUGUAAACUCCUUUCGAUCGGGAAGAUAAUGACGGUACCGAGAGAAGAAGCCCCGGCUAACUUCGUAGCCAGCAGCCGCGGUAA
rnacentral:rRNA from 1 species